ACACCUCAAACUCUCAUGAUUCGCCGUGAUGAGCUUGGACUUGGGGGUUUUGCUGGCUUUGCAGCCAGCUCCUCUCAAAUGGAUUAGCUUGCCAGUGUUUGGUGGCAUCACGGGUGUGAUAACUAUCUACGCUUGUGGUCGUCUGCCAGGUAACCUUCGUCGGUGGAGGUUCGCUGGAGCUUACAAACGUCUCUCCUCAGCAGAGACAGCUUCCUCAACGU
rnacentral:misc_RNA from 1 species